AUUGAACGCUGGCGGCAGGCUUAACACAUGCAAGUCGAGCGGAGAUGAGGUGCUUGCACCUUAUCUUAGCGGCGGACGGGUGAGUAAUGCUUAGGAAUCUGCCUAUUAGUGGGGGACAACAUUCCGAAAGGAAUGCUAAUACCGCAUACGCCCUACGGGGGAAAGCAGGGGAUCUUCGGACCUUGCGCUAAUAGAUGAGCCUAAGUCGGAUUAGCUAGUUGGUGGGGUAAAGGCCUACCAAGGCGACGAUCUGUAGCGGGUCUGAGAGGAUGAUCCGCCACACUGGGACUGAGACACGGCCCAGACUCCUACGGGAGGCAGCAGUGGGGAAUAUUGGACAAUGGGCGAAAGCCUGAUCCAGCCAUGCCGCGUGUGUGAAGAAGGCCUUAUGGUUGUAAAGCACUUUAAGCGAGGAGGAGGCUACUUUAGUUAAUACCUAGAGAUAGUGGACGUUACUCGCAGAAUAAGCACCGGCUAACUCUGUGCCAGCCGCCGCGGUAAUAC
rnacentral:rRNA from 1 species